rnacentral:rRNA from 1 species
AUUGAACGCUGGCGGCAGGCUUAACACAUGCAAGUCGAACGAGUGGCGGACGGGUGAGUAAUGCCUGGGAAUCUGGCUGAUGGAGGGGGAUAACUACGGGAAACUGUAGCUAAUACCGCAUACCAUCGGAUGAGCCCAAGUGGGAUUAGGUAGUUGGUGAGGUAAAGGCUCACCAAGCCGACGAUCCCUAGCUGGUCUGAGAGGAUGACCAGCCACACUGGGACUGAGACACGGCCCAGACUCCUAUGGGAGGCAGCAGUGGGGAAUAGUGCACAAUGGGCGCAAGCCUGAUGCAGCCAUGCCGCGUGUAUGAAGAAGGCCUUAGGGUUGUAAAGUACUUUCAGCGGGGAGGCGUUACCCGCAGAAGAAGCACCGGCUAACUCCGUGCCAGCAGCCGCGGUAAUUC